rnacentral:rRNA from 1 species
AUUCCAGCUCCAAUAGCGUAUAUUAAAGUUGUUGCAGUUAAAAAGCUCGUAGUUGGAGUUCAGGGUGAGCUCAGCUGGUCGGCCUAAUGGGUCAGAACUGGUUGACUCUCCCUUGGUUGUGGAUCCCUCCGGAGUUAAUUCUUCGGGUGUGGAGUCCACAUCGUUUACCUUGAAAAAAUUAGAGUGUUCAAAGCAGGCGUUUGCUUGAAUAUAUUAGCAUGGAAUAAUGGAAUAGGACGCUGGUUCUAUUUUGUUGGUUUUGAGAACCAGAGUAAUGAUUAAUAGGGACAGUUGGGGGCAUUCAUAUUUCAUUGUCAGAGGUGAAAUUCUUGGAUUUAUGAAAGAUGAACUUCUGCGAAAGCAUUUGCCAAGGAUGUUUUCAUUG